rnacentral:rRNA from 1 species
CGGGUGAGUAACACGUGGAUAACCUACCUAUAUGACUGGGAUAACUUCGGGAAACCGGAGCUAAUACCGGAUAAUAUAUUGAACCGCAUGGUUCAAUAGUGAAAGACGGUUUUGCUGUCACUUAUAGAUGGAUCCGCGCCGCAUUAGCUAGUUGGUAAGGUAACGGCUUACCAAGGCAACGAUGCGUAGCCGACCUGAGAGGGUGAUCGGCCACACUGGAACUGAGACACGGUCCAGACUCCUACGGGAGGCAGCAGAU